AUAGCUUUCAAGAAGGUAAUGAAGUUAUUUGGGAAGUUGUAUCUUUCAAGAGUGUAGUAGAGGUAUGGCCAGAGAAGGCGAUCAAACGCCUUCUCGGCGUCAAGUGAAAUGACACUCAUUGGGAUCUGUCUGUGCUGUGCUACCCAGAUCAGGUCUAUGGCUCUGCGAGUGUUAUCUAAGGCUUGUCUAUUGGGGAUGAACCCCACCUGAUCUGGGUGUAUUAUCUGUUCUAAGAAGGGGUUCA